AUGACCCGUGUGGCAGGGACCAGGCAGAAGAACCACACUGCCCUUGUGCUGGGCCCAGCAAUAUGCCACCCUCUAUUCUGUGGGCAUGGGCCAGUCAGGAGAGUCCCAUCACCUAGGUGCUGGGCCCAGAGAUAUGUCACAAUCUCUCCUACGAACAAAGCCCAGAAACUGCUGUUCUCAAUGUCACCAAUCACUUGGAGGUCACAAAUCACUUGCAAAGUCAACAGACUCUUGUCUGCCCACACAGUCUUCAGAAAAUGUGUCCAGGUUCCACCUUGGGGAAAUAGCCAUUCUCGCCCACUGCUGCUGCUUGUGAAUUCGGUUUUAUGAGGAGCUGAGAUUCCAAACACCACCUGACUUGUUAUUGUUCUUUUUAAUGUCCUCGGUUUUUUGGUUAUAAUCUAUUUUCCAAAACCAUAGGUAAUAUCAUGCUGUGUCCCUGCAGGAUUUUCAGCAGGCAUGGGAGAACAUUACCUUAAGUAAUUACCUAAGGUACCUAAGUAACCUAAGAACAUUACCUUAGGUAAUGUUCUUCCUCCAGUGGAGUUUCAGAGUCUGGUGGACACCUUCCUUCAGCCCCUCAUUAUGCCAUCCUCUUCCAGCUCUGAGCUGGGUCAUGAGGACUCACUGAUGGACUGGAUGCAGCCUCUGAUCUCGGAAGAUCUGCAUCCACUCACACCAUUGGACCUGGCCAUGUGCAUGUCUCUGCUAUGACUACCUCUCCCCUGGUGGCACAGCUGAGUGUGAGGUCACCUGCCAGUGAAGAGAUAGCUGCUCCAGCCCCAGGGCCCCUUCCCUGCCCAGGGCCUGUGCUGGAGGGUCUGACAGAAGCUGCUUCAUCUGUGCCAGCCUUCCAUCUGCACAGGGCUGAUGGGCCAAUUUGGUUUGGUUUGUAUCUUAGUGCCUUCUACUUCCAGGUGACCAUGUAGCAUGCAUUUUAGCAAAUGAAGGGGCAAUAUGAGUGUGGAGUGACAGCAGUGGGGACUCAAAGAGGGGAUGGGGACAGCACGGGGUGUGGAGAGAGCAUCUGUCAGGAAUGUGAGGUGCCUGCCUGGGCUCUGUAGGAUUUUGAGCUUAUCAUGCUGCUCCUGCUCCAUUCCAUUAAUGUUUCAAUCACCCACUCACUUACCCAUGUGCCCACACACCCACUACUCAGCUGCUUACCUGCUUCAACCACCUACUCUCCUACCCAACCUCUUCCUACCACCACCACACACUGUCACCACUCACAGACAAACUCACGUUAUCAUCCACCCACCUCACUGGCUCCACUCCAUUCAAAAUAUUACUCAUACUCUUCUUUAGCAAUCACUCAACCCUCCCACCUAGACACCUACCAUCCACCUAGACACUAACUCAUCCACCCAGCAAGACACCUAUUCACUCACCCACCCACCUAAACAUCCACCCAUGUAUACACCCACUCUCUCCCCCACCCAGACACCCACUCACUCACCCAUCUAGAUACCCACUCAUCCACCCACCCAGACACCCACCACUCACCCAUCUAGGUACCCACUCAUCCACCCACCCAGACACCCACUCACUCACCCACCUAAGCACCCACUCACCCACCCACCCAGCAAGACACCCAUUCACUCACCCAUCCACUUAAACAUCCACUCACCCACCCAGCUAGAUCACCUACUCACUUGAUCCACGAGACAUCCCACUACUCAUCCCCUCAGCAGAGCACCUACUCACCCACCUACCUAGACAUCCAAUUUUAGUCCAUUCAAUUUAGAUACUCACUC
rnacentral:lncRNA from 1 species